GUGGGCUUCCCCUCGAGGUCCCAUCAGAAGUAGAGGGAAGGUAGGGAGUAGUAGAGGGUCUUCGCGAGACAUCUCCAGGCGAUCCGGGAAAUCACGGUUGGCCCUGCCCGAGGGGUGUCAUGAGCAGGAGCGAUAUCUUGUGUGUGUGUAUCGAAGCACCCUUGCUAUUGUGGAGAACGGCUGGGUCACGUUUGCAGGGGUUCAUCCAUCGCCCCGUAUCUGAAGGAAGAGUCAAAGAUCGUUUUGCCAAUCCAAGUUUGUAUGUGAAGUAAUCGCCAUCGAAAUUCCAUCCUCACUUCCGCUGACAGUGGGAUCCAGUGGUCGUAUGAGUGACCGGUGCGUACGUAUCUCACCAUCAGUCGUAG